CAUCGAGGGGCAGCAUUUCUAGCUUGCUAGAAGAUGGCGACCGGCGCACGGGUGCGUAACGCGUAUAUAACUUGCCUCAUACUGGAGAAUAGCCCGGAGAAAUUCGGAUUAAUGCUCCAUAGUAACUUAAAGUCGCAUGGCUUAAAGUUUAAAGAUUUAUCGGUAUGAGAUAGAUAUGCGUCCCAUUAGCUAGUUGGUGUAGGUAACGGCUCACCAAGGCGACGAUGGGUAGGGGUUCUGAGAGGAAGGUCCCCCACACUGGCACUGAGAUACGGGCCAGACUCCUACGGGAGGCAGCAGUAGGGAAUAUUGGGCAAUGGAGGCAACUCUGACCCAGCCAUGCCGCGUGAACGAUGAAGGCCUUCGGGUCGUAAAGUUCUUUUGUAUGGGAAGAAACCCACCCUUGCGAGGGUGUUUGACGGUACCAUAAGAAUAAGCACCGGCUAACUCCGUGCCAGCAGCCGCGGUAAUACGGAGGGUGCAAGCGUUGUCCGGAAUUAUUGGGUUUAAAGGGUGCGCAGGUGGUCCUGCCAGUCAGAGGUUAAAGACCGGGGCUUAACUCCGUGUUUGCCUUUGAUACUACAGGACUUGAAAUACGUAUGGGUAAGCGGAAUUCCUCAUGUAGCGGUGAAAUGCACAGAUAUGAGGAGGA
rnacentral:rRNA from 1 species